rnacentral:rRNA from 1 species
UGCAGUCGAGCGAACGGACGAGAAGCUUGCUUCUCUGAUGUUAGCGGCGGACGGGUGAGUAACACGUGGAUAACCUACCUAUAAGACUGGGAUAACUUCGGGAAACCGGAGCUAAUACCGGAUAAUAUUUUGAACCGCAUGGUUCAAAAGUGAAAGACGGUCUUGCUGUCACUUAUAGAUGGAUCCGCGCUGCAUUAGCUAGUUGGUAAGGUAACGGCUUACCAAGGCAACGAUGCAUAGCCGACCUGAGAGGGUGAUCGGCCACACUGGAACUGAGACACGGUCCAGACUCCUACGGGAGGCAGCAGUAGGGAAUCUUCCGCAAUGGGCGAAAGCCUGACGGAGCAACGCCGCGUGAGUGAUGAAGGUCUUCGGAUCGUAAAACUCUGUUAUUAGGGAAGAACAUAUGUGUAAGUAACUGUGCACAUCUUGACGGUACCUAAUCAGAAAGCCACGGCUAACUACGUGCCAGCAGCCGCGGUAAUACGUAGGUGGCAAGCGUUAUCCGGAAUUAUUGGGCGUAAAGCGCGCGUAGGCGGUUUUUUAAGUCUGAUGUGAAAGCCCACGGCUCAACCGUGGAGGGUCAUUGGAAACUGGAAAACUUGAGUGCAGAAGAGGAAAGUGGAAUUCCAUGUGUAGCGGUGAAAUGCGCAGAGAUAUGGAGGAACACCAGUGGCGAAGGCGACUUUCUGGUCUGUAACUGACGCUGAUGUGCGAAAGCGUGGGGAUCAAACAGGAUUAGAUACCCUGGUAGUCCACGCCGUAACGAUGAGUGCUAAGUGUUAGGGGGUUUCCGCCCCUUAGUGCUGCAGCUAACGCAUUAAGCACUCCGCCUGGGGGAGUACGACCGCAAGGUUGAAACUCAAAGGAAUUGACGGGGACCCGCACAAGCGGUGGAGCAUGUGGUUUAAUUCGAAGCAACGCGAAGAACCCUUACCAAAUCUUGACAUCCCUUUGA